rnacentral:rRNA from 1 species
GCACCGGCUAACUCCGUGCCAGCAGCCGCGGUAAUACGGAGGGUGCGAGCGUUAAUCGGAAUUACUGGGCGUAAAGCGCAUGCAGGUGGUUUGUUAAGUCAGAUGUGAAAGCCCGGGGCUCAACCUCGGAAUUGCAUUUGAAACUGGCAGACUAGAGUACUGUAGAGGGGGGUAGAAUUUCAGGUGUAGCGGUGAAAUGCGUAGAGAUUUGAAGGAAUACCGGUGGCGAAGGCGGCCCCCUGGACAGAUACUGACACUCAGAUGCGAAAGCGUGGGGAGCAAACAGGAUUAGAUACCCUGGUAGUCCACGCCGUAAACGAUGUCUACUUGGAGGUUGUGGCCUUGAGCCGUGGCUUUCGGAGCUAACGCGUUAAGUAGACCGCCUGGGGAGUACGGUCGCAAGAUUAAAACUCAAAUGAAUUGACGGGGGCCCGCACAAGCGGUGGAGCAUGUGGUUUAAUUCGAUGCAACGCGAAGAACCUUACCUACUCUUGACAUCCAGAGAACUUUCCAGAGAUGGAUUGGUGCCUUCGGGAACUUUGAGACAGGUGCUGCAUGGCUGUCGUCAGCUCGUGUUGUGAAAUGUUGGGUUAAGUCCCGCAACGAGCGCAACCCUUAUCCUUGUUUGCCAGCGAGUAAUGUCGGGAACUCCAGGGAGACUGCCGGUGAUAAACCGGAGGAAGGUGGGGACGACGUCAAG